rnacentral:misc_RNA from 1 species
GAUGAAGAACGCAGCGAAUUGCGAUAAGUAAUGUGAAUUGCAGAUUUUCAGUGAAUCAUCGAAUCUUUGAACGCACCUUGCGCUCCUUGGUAUUCCGAGGAGCAUGCCUGUUUGAGUGUCAUUAUAUUCUCAACUAUACAAGUUUUUACAACAUGUAUAGCUUGGAUCUUGGGAUUUGCGGGCUUUCACAAGUCAGCUAUCCUUAAAUGUAUUAGCAGAGCUUUUGCCGCUAACCCCUGGUGUGAUAAUUAUCUACGCCGUUGAGUUUCGACAAAUGAGGCUUAGCUACUAAUCGUCUGCAAGGACAACAUUUGACAAUCUGACCUCAAAUCAGGUAGGACUACCCGCUGAACUUAAGCAUAUCAAUAAGCGGAGGA